UACGUAGGGGGCAAGCGUUUGUCCGGAAUCAUUGGGCGUAAAGCGCGUGUAGGCGCUCGAUAAGUCUGCUGUGAAAGUCCAGGCUCAACCCUGGGAUGCCGGUGGAUACUGUCGAGCUCGAGUCCGGAAGAGGCGAGUGGAAUUCCUGGUGUAGCGGUGAAAUGCGCAGAUAUCAGGAGGAACACCUAAGGCGAAGGCAGCUCGCUGGGAACGGUACUGACGCUGAGGCGCGAAAGCGUGGGGAGCAAACAGG
rnacentral:rRNA from 1 species